CAUUAAGUAUUACGAAGCUGUAAAUACACCUGUGUCAGUACCAUGCAGUGUCACUGUUUGUACAUACUGGAGCUUACAAUAGUGAUAUGAUUAUAGUAUUAGUUGAGUAAAACUGCCUGUAGUGACUUCUUAUUUUGGUUUUAAAGAUCUAAAGCUACUGUAUAGAUCUAGUAUGAUGAACAAUAUAAACAGCAGACAGUGGAUGGUGUCGAUUGUAGUAAUGCUUGGACUUGUGUGCACACUAACUAAUGGGCAAUGCUUCAAUGGCCAGACAAGAAACUGCGGUUCGUUUUGUUGUCCUCCACUUGACUCUCAGUCACAUGAUUCUGAUGGAUUCCAGCGAACAGAGUGCUGUAAUGCCCUCUCAGAAAGAUCAGGAUGCUGUAGUAUUCAAGAGUUACAAACUACAACUUGUGUCAGUGGGUUGAGAUGCCCAGAUGGUUCAGGACGAGACGAUGUUGGUGAAAUACGAAAUCAAUGCUGCCUGAACUUUCGCUCCGGGUGCUGUAGUCGAGUGGAGAAUCGCGACUUCCAGUUCCUCUUUAAUCUCACCAUUGGACUAGCUGCUGCAGUCUUUAUUGUGCUACUGGCAACUGUCUUCCUAAUCAUCCUCUGUUGCUGCUGUGUAUGCAACUGACACAUGCAUGGACGUGCAAUAAAUAAACUAUAGUUAUCGUGGAAUUACAUAGUAUAGGAUAUUGAUUGUAAUAUUGACAAUGUGUAUACAAGUACAAUAACAGUCAUGACCUAACUGCA